UGGGUACUUAAUAUAAAAAAAAAACCAAGCAGCCAAAAACGCUCAAAGCGACGUUGUCAUCGAGCAAGAAGGACGCUCUUGGAAGAAGAAAAACAACUCCGCAAAUUUUCAGUCUUUCCACUGACCGAGCGAUGAAGGCCAUUCUUUGUUUUGCUUUUGUCAGCCUGAUGCUGAGUAUUUGUCCGCGUACCGUGGAAGUUCGAAGGAUUUAUGAUACACCCUUUAAGUGGAACCAUUUGCCAUCGCACUGGAAAAAGAGAGAGUUCACGAACGAACGUCAAAACAAGCAGGACUUUCAGAGGAGUAAUGAACUUUCCAGACUGGAUAAGGUGGAAAGAAACUUUUUUCAGCCGCCAAAUUUCCCUCGACCCGGGAACUGAGUGGUACAUCCAGCGUAGCUGUGGACCUCGAUUAGUAACUUAAACACUCAGUUGCGGAGAGUCUUGUGAAAUGUAGAAAUUGUAAAAUUUGUAAAGCGCAGUGUUUUGUGUUACCUGGGAUUGUUAAUUCUUAGUCUCAUUCUGAUUACAGUUGUAGCAAUUUUGUUUGUGGCCGAUUUUGUCGCAGAGAACAUUGUUGAUCUGGUUUCUUUUAGUUGCAUGCUUUAGUACAUGUACAUCUAGUAAAGUAAACCGAUAUGGCUCCCGUUACGCUGUCGACUUGUAGCCUCAUGAAAUAAUAACUCUUGGUUUUCUGUAAUACGUGUUGACCUAUCAGCCGCUGGUUCAGCAGUUCCAAACCAAAUAAACAACGUGUUCAGUUGCCAAAGCUUUAA